rnacentral:tRNA from 2 species
GUCGUCGCUGGUGAAGGUGGCACUGCGGGUCCGGGUCGCGCAGCCGGCGUCGCCGCUCGUGCAGUCCGCGGUCGCCGUGGCGGCGGUG